UGGGGAAUAUUGCACAAUGGGCGAAAGCCUGAUGCAGCAACGCCGCGUGAGUGAUGAAGGUCUUCGGAUUGUAAAGCUCUGUCUUUUGGGACGAUAAUGACGGUACCAAAGGAGGAAGCCACGGCUAACUACGUGCCAGCAGCCGCGGUAAUACGUAGGUGGCGAGCGUUGUCCGGAUUUACUGGGCGUAAAGGGUGCGUAGGCGGAUGCUUAAGUGAGAUGUGAAAUACCCGGGCUUAACUUGGGUGCUGCAUUUCAAACUGGAUAUCUAGAGUGCAGGAGAGGAGAAUGGAAUUCCUAGUGUAGCGGUGAAAUGCGUAGAGAUUAGGAAGAACACCAGUGGCGAAGGCGAUUCUCUGGACUGUAACUGACGCUGAGGCACGAAAGCGUGGGUAGCAAACAGGAUUAGAUACCCUGGUAGUCCACGCCGUAAACGAUGAGUACUAGGUGUAGGAGGUAUCGACCCCUUCUGUGCCGCAGUAAACACAUUAAGUACUCCGCCUG
rnacentral:rRNA from 1 species